AGCAGCCGCGGUAAUUCCAGCUCCAAUAGCGUAUAUUAAAGUUGUUGCAGUUAAAAAGCUCGUAGUUGAAUUUCGGGAUCAGCAGGUCGGUCGUGCCAAUGGUAUGCACUGGCCUUGCUGAUUCCUCCCUCUUGAUGAGCCGUAAUGCCAUUAAUUUGGUGUUGCGGGGAAUCAGGACUGUUACUUUGAAAAAAAUUAGAGUGUUUAAAGCAGGCUCACGCUUGAAUACAUUAGCAUGGAAUAACGAAAUAGGACGUUUGAUUCUAUUUUGUUGGUUUCUAGGAUCGACGUAAUGAUUAAUAGGGAUAGUUGGGGGCAUUAGUAUUCAAUUGUCAGAGGUGAAAUUCUUGGAUUUAUUGAAGACUAACUACUGCGAAAGCAUUUGCCAAGGAUGUUUUCAUUAAUCAAGAACGAAAGUUAGGGGAUCGAAGACGAUCAGAUACCGUCGUAGUCUUAACCAUAAACUAAUGCCGACUAGGGAUCGGAUGAUGUUAAUUUUUUUAAUGA
rnacentral:rRNA from 1 species